rnacentral:lncRNA from 1 species
GCCCUGUGGAAAGUUGUCCCUGGCUCCUGCCACCUUCCAUCUCUUCACAUCUCAGCUGGUUUUAAUUAGUUCCCUUCAAAGUCCCCCAAAGCAACGGAGCCACGUUAGCGCCCGCCAGCUGCCAAGACGCUCCAGUGUGUGUGUUUGGGGGGCGGGCGUCGGGGGCCGCAGAAGCCAGCUCGCGUUGCUGAGCCGCAGGGGCUUUGCCGCUUCUGGGCCAAGAGCACGGGGCGGAGGGCACUUCUGGCCGGGGUCCCGGGGCGGCCGGCGCUGCCCGGCAAGGACGCUGCGGCCCCACGGGGGUGGAGGGGGGCGCUGGCCUGGACGCCCGAGACUCCGACCUGGCCUGCAUUUCCGGGGGGCCCCUGAACACACAGAACCCCCGGGACUCCCCGAAGCCCCUGCUCUGCUCCCACGUACGUGCAGCAAAGUCUUAUUUCUACCAGCCGUGCCGGGCACCUCAGCCACAGACCCCGGCAGGCCCCCAGCGGCCGGGUGGAAACAAGGGAGGCAGGAGCUGGGGGUGGCCGCGGGGAGUGUGGUGGCCUGUUCCUGCCCCCCUCUGGGGCGCCGAGCUGCUCGGCCCCACCCACGUGUCCUGGUGGCAUCGUGGCCCCAGCGGGGACGCCUUCUUUGGGUUUCCAACAGAGGCCUGGGGAUUUGCGUGGACUUCUGUGAUUUUAAAAACAGCUUGUGGCAAGUGUUGACAUGGAGGGUUCCUGGGACCGUGUGCCAGCAGCCCCUCAUUACAAGGUGGGCCUGGGGUCCCCAGGGGAGCCGUGUGCCCCGGUCACUGCUACACAGUCACUGAGGACCUCAAUUUGGGGCUCCUCACCCUUCAUCCCCCUAAACUGGCACCAUCCUUUGGAUGAAAAAGUGCAGCCUGUGACCUGACCUCAUCAGCAUACACCAGAUGGGAAGGUCAGAUUUUUCAGCAAAUAUGCAUUCCGUCCUCCCUGGCCUCUGGGGUAGGACUGGAUGCUGUCCUUGCCAAUAAAAUGUGGGUGGGCGGGAUGACGCGUGAGUCCCGAGCCUAGGGCUCUAAGGAGAAGCUGCAUGUCUGGGCUCCUUGGGGAGCUCCUGACCUUGUCUGGGACAGGAGCAAGCCCUAGAGGCCCACCGACCAGGAAGGACGUGGGCAGCCCAGAGCCUCACUCCACCGAGCACAGUCCAGGUCAGAUGCAUCACGGCCGACCCAGGGAUGAGUGAGUGAGAAGAAACGGUUAUUGCCGUGUGUCACGGAGACUCCUGUGCUUACUUGUUACACAGCCAGAGCUGAUGGACACCGAUCGAGAGCUGGUAAAGACUGUGGGCACAGGGAGAGAGGGCAGCUAGAGUCUGCAGAGCACUUCCUGCAUACCUGCUCUUGCAGGGGUCAUCUGAUUGUACGUCCUUUUUAAAAAUUAUAUUUAUUUAAAUUUAUUCAUUUUUUUAAACCAAUAGGCCCGCUUCCUUAUUGUGGAGCAGCUAUUUCUCCAUUUGAGACUGGAGGAGUGAGCUCAGACUGGGGAAGUGAGCUGCUCAAGGCCACGUGGCCACAAAGGGCAGAGCUGGGAUCUGAGCCCACGUAUGUGUCCCCGGAGUGCAUGUGUUCAGCCAGUGUGCCAGCACCAUCUAAUAUGGUGGCCACUAGCUAACCUGUGGCGAUUCAAAUGUAACUGAUUAAAUUAGAUAAAACUGCAAAUUUCAUUCUUCUCUCACCCAGGCACCCUUCAAGUGCUCCACGCGUCCUGUGGCUGGUGGCUGCGCGCUAGAGUGCACACACAUGCAACAGUCCUGGCACCCCAGGGAGUUCCGUCCUGUGGGUGUGGACUCAGGCCAGCCAUCUGGCUGCCCCAGAGGGCCCACGGGCCAGCGCGACCUCGGCCACUGCGAGCUCUGUGGCCUCGGUCACCGUGAGCACCGUGGUCUCCACGUCAGCUCGCAGCCCAUCUCAGGCUUGUCACCUGCAGGACUGGUGAUGCGGAAGAUGAGUGGUCUUCUCAGCCUCUUCCAGAACCUUGCAGGGUCUCUGGGCCAGCUGGCAACGGCUCUGACAGACACAGCUGUCCCCUUGGGGUUGUCAGGGCCACACAUCAAAGUCUAGACUGCCCCGGGAAAUCCCAGAAGCUGGGUGAUGGAGACAGGGUGACAGAGGGGCAGUACGUAGGGGAUCAAGCUGCCUGGGUCCUGGGGCUGAGGUGAGGGUGCAAGGGGAGAUGGUCUGGGGGGAAGCGGCAGGGCCAGCCUGGCCUCACCACUGGGACAGGGGCACACAUCUACACACGUCAGCCUCUAGGAGCUCCUCUCCAGAGCCCGGAUGCUUUGGGGGUACUUUCUGGUUGCAUCCCAGAUCCAUCAUGGCCUGGGGAGAGCUGUCCCCACAUUCCUCAUGCACCGUGAUCACAGAGGCCCAGAGAGGGUGAGGGCCCCGCCUGAGGGCACACGGCAGUGAGAGGCAGAGCCCACACACAGUCUGAGCCCCCCUAGCAAUGCGCCCCUCCUCACGCGGAUCCCACCCCCGGGCUGGGCGGCUCACGGACUUCGUUUCUGCA